UACGAAGGGUGCAAGCGUUGCUCGGAAUUACUGGGCGUAAAGCGUGCGUAGACGGUUAUUUAAGUCGGGUGUGAAAGCCCCGGGCUCAACCUGGGAAUUGCAUUCGAGACUGAAUAGCUAGGGUACGGUAGAGGGAAGCGGAAUUUCCGGUGUAGCGGUGAAAUGCGUAGAUAUCGGAAGGAACAUCAGUGGCGAAAGCGGCUUCCUGGACCAGUACCGACGUUCAGGCACGAAAGCGUGGGGAGCAAACAGG
rnacentral:rRNA from 1 species